rnacentral:tRNA from 1 species
UCCCUGGUGGUCCAGUGGUUAGGACUUACGAUUUCACUGCCAAGGGCCCUGGUUCAAUCCCUGGUUGGGGAA